rnacentral:rRNA from 1 species
GAUGAACGCUGGCGGCGUGCUUAACACAUGCAAGUCGAACGAUCAAGACCCCUUCGGGGGUGUAUAGAGUGGCGAACGGGUGAGUAACACGUGGGCAACCUGCCCCUUCCUCUGGGAUAACACGGAGAAGUCCGUGCUAAUACCGGAUACUCCAUAUCUGCAGCAUCGCGGAUAUGGGAAAGCUCCGACGGGAAGGGAUGGGCCCGCGGUCCAUUAGCUAGUCGGUGGGGUAACGGCCUACCGAGGCGACGAUGGAUAGCCGGGUUGAGAGACCGACCGGCCACAUUGGGACUGAGACACGGCCCAGACUCCUACGGGAGGCAGCAGUGGGGAAUUUUGCGCAAUGGGGGAAACCCUGACGCAGCAACGCCGCGUGCGGGAUGAAGGCCUUCGGGUUGUAAACCGCUUUCAGCAGGGAAGAAUACAGACGGUACCUGCAGAAGAAGCUCCGGCUAACUACGUGCCAGCAGCCGCCGUAA